ACUGCUGUUUAUUAGCAACUUGAAGUCAAACAAAUGCUGAAUGCCUCCUAUGUUCGGCGCAGGUGGCGGAAGGUCAAUCAAAUACCCUUGCACUGCCAGGAGAAUCCCAGGAGGACGACACUAAGCCUGGGGUUGUGAUCAGAGAUUCCAAUCACAAGUUCUUAAACUCUGUAUUUCAGCGUUUUGCACCCGGAAAGCAAGACCCAAAAAGCACUGAGCAAGCGCAGUGGCGCAGGGCUUGCAAUAGCAAGCCAUCUUCCCAUUGGCCGUGCGUUCCAAGGGCUCAGGCGCAGUGGUGAGGGAGCGUGGCAACAACGUGGUUCGCACCACUCCGAGGCGACACUGAGGAGGCGCGCGAUUCCAGUUCAGCUUACGGUUCAGCCUACGGUUCAACUUACGGGAUCUCUCACAGCACUGGACCUGGAGCAGCAGUCCUGCCCUGGGGGAGGAAGCUAGCCAGCCUAUAUUUGCCUUCUAAUGGACUGACCCAGCUUCCAAUGAUUCUUGGCAACUCACUUGGACCCGGCUGCCUCAAGGAUUCAAGAACGCAACCACUCUGUUCUGUGAGGCCUUCCAGAAGGACUUACUUGGUGAGUUUUCGAUCCCAUGACCCUAACCUCAUCUUGCUUCAAUAUGUGGAAGAUCUGUUGUUAGCUGCUGCCAGUUGUUCAGAAUGCCUUCAGGAAACAAGAGCUCCUACGAUUGCUAGAGGAGUUGGGCUAAUGUGUCUUGGUUAAAAAGGCACAACUCUGUGCUUCCCAAGCAUCGUACCUGUGGUAUGAGACCUCAAAAGGAAGAAAAACUUUGCCUCAGGCAAGGAAAUGGGCCAUUCUGCAGAUACCCAUGCCAACUACCAAGAAAUAGUUACAAGAAUUCCUAGAUGCAGCUGGAUACUGUGGCCUCUGGAUACCUGGGUUUGCCAAGAUAGCACAGCCCUGAAAUCAAGCCCUAGAGUGGAGAACAAAAGAAGAAAAGGUGUUCCAGGAUUUAAAACAAGCUCUGGUGUCAGCCCUGACUCUGGUGUUGCCUGGCAUCAAUCACCAAACCGUUCCAACUGUUCACUCAUGAGGUUCUCAGUCUGGCAACACUGAUGCCACAUGAUGACCCCAAUACCCCAAUGCAUGACUGUGAGGAGGUGUUGGACCACACCUAGGGAGGCUGCUCAGACCUAAUGGACAUCCCCCAGCUGAGGCUGACACCACUCUCUUCACUGAUGGAAGUAGCAUGGUGAACAAAAUUCAUGGCACAGCUGUACCAAGUAUUGGAGGCUGGCAAGAUCAGGAUAUUCAAGAGUUCCAUUGGCAUGGUGAAUCUGGUUGACAUGGGGCGAUGACUGAAAACUUGAAGGCAGUCUUGCUGGCUUCCACUCCUCACCUCCACAGGGAAAGUCCUUAAGUCACAUCUGCAGGGCCCUGUCCUGGCUCCAUGACUUUGAGCAGAAGAAACAGCAAGAAGAGGCCCACUGUCUCCUUGAACCUGAAGCCGGCCCCUCGCCUGAGGGGCAGACUUGCAUCCUGCAAUCUUGUCUUCCUGCCAAGCAUCCCCCACCACUCUGAGACCUACACAAGAGCCAGACUGGGUCACCAAGUUUGUGCAGAGGAAGGAAGGAAGGGACCUGGCAGAGCAAGUGAAGGUGAGGGCUGGGUAGCAUCCUCGAGUCAGUGGAUGCAGAGUCACCUCUGCUGACGGAACCAGCCAUCACUAGUCAAACAGUACCCGAGCAGAGGGGUGAGGAUUAAGAAAGAAAAACACUGACUCAAAGGAAAAGAAAAAGGAGAGAGGAGGAGAGACCUCUCUCCCCACUUUAUUGACCCUUUUAUAUCCUUUCCACAGUUCCCCUCCCCUCCUCACCACAUGAUCAGGUGACUAGUUUACAGAGAAAAGGUCAAGUGUAUCUUUACAAUUCCAGGGAUGUUAUUUCUUUGCUUUGCAGACAUUCAGAUUCUUUCUAUUUUUACUACUCUCUUCACAAGUCAACAUCCUUGUUUUCGUGCCAGUUUCAUAUCCAGGGUUCAUUAUACUCUCAAGAGGCUCAGAGGUCUUUCAAGGUUGUUUCAACCCUUCGCUCUCCACACUCUGCAUCCUUCUGAGCCGUGGUCACCUGUCCUUCUCUGGGCACCACUCCCCAUGCACUGUGUACCCAUGGUUGGCCUUGGUGAUGGGUCUGGGCCCUGGAUGCAAUGGAGGGAGGAGUCUGACCAGGCUGUGGCCCAGGAAGGGAUGCAGACUUCCUGCCCCAGGCAGCAAGGGUGACUUGCCAGUUUGAGGUUCAGAGGGACUCCUGGAACCCUCAUUGCUCUAGAGGAUGGCAGGGUCCCUGCAGGAGUCUCCUCACUGCUGUGUCCCCCCCCAGGAGAAAGAAGUGAGAGGAGUGGCUGCAGCAGGCCCUCAGGGUGGAUGAGGAUGAGGAAAACCUGGAAGAGGAACACAUCACAAAGGUUAAGAUGCUAAGGCCUAGAUCCUUCUUUGUCGGGCUGCCCUCCACAUGCACACACACACAGUCAUGCACCAUUUUUCUCUUUUCCUGUCCUUGCUCUGAAAUCCCUGAGGAGAGGGAGUGUCCAGCUCAGACUUCAUCUCUUGCUAUGGGAGAUGCAUGGGAGAUGCAUGCCUCCAUAGUGCUCCCGGACAGUGAGGGCCUGCCACAUGAAGACACAGCAGCAGGGACACUGCCUUUCCAAGAUCCUAAACCCUGGCUGAAGGCACAGUUGCAUGGGUGGCUUCCUUUGGUGCCAUGUGAUGCAAGGCAAUGCCAUGUUACUAGGGACCUGCAUUUGCAGCCACCUUCCUUGUUCCCUCAGGCCCUUGAUACUUGAUGUACAGAGAGCAUUUGGGGCUGUUAGCAUCCCCUCUUUGACUUCCCCUUCAUCUGCUCUGAGCAGAUUACUGCAACCAGAUGCUUUUGUCCUUUUGUCCUUGGCUCUAUUGAUAUAGUGUAUUACAUUGAUUGAUUUGCAUAUGUUGAACCAUCCCUGCAUCCCUGGGAUGAAUCCCACUUGGUCAGGGUGUAUGAUCUUCUGCAUUCUAUUUGCCAGUAUCUUACUAAGGAUUUUUGCAUCUAUGUUCAUUAGUGAGAUUGGCCUAUAGUUCUCUUUUUCAGUUGGGUCUUUCUCUGCUUGAACAAAGCAUUCUUGCAAGAAGUGAAUCUUAGGUUAAUGGGAACUUGUUCUUUCCCUUAUAUUAAAAUUAACUUCUUAUACAGGUUGAGCAAGAACCAUGGGCUUUUCAGCUGUAGAUACUCUCAGCUAAUACAGGCCCCACAGAGCCAUUAACCUGGGUUGGUCUCAGCCAUGGCCAGUGGCAGUUACAUUCUCUUUCUGCACACUAGCUGCAGCCAUUAAGCUGUGCACUUAUGCCUUAGACUAGUUCUGAAUUAAACCAAUUGUAUCUGCCAGUUGAAUAUAAUCAAAGCCAUGUCAAUACCAUCUUAAGGUAAUCUCCUUCAUGAGAUAUUCAGGAAGUAGUACUUCAAUCCUGGCCUUUAUUAAUAAUCCCUGUGAGCAGCAAUAUCCCUCACUGCACUUAGAAGUGUAUGUGAGACACUUCUAAGCUACUGUUCAAAUAGGGUUAGUUAGGUCCGGGGAUUUAGCUCAGUGGUUCCAACCCCUGCCUCGCAAACUCAAGGUCCCAAGUUCGAUCCCUGGUACCACAAAAUAAAACCCAAAGGCAGAACAAGGAAAACUAUCAUUACUCCUAAUGAACAUGAAUGCAAAUAGGGUUACUUAUUAAAUACACUUAACAUGUAAAUGAUGAUGAUGUGUUGUAAUAAUAAGAUUACUGAUUUAUUUAACCCUAAGUUGUCUGAAAUUAAAAAAUAUUAUUGUGUUAAUUAUGAAUAAAGUCAUAAACAGAAAAAACAUUUGAUUCAACAUAAAGUUUAUCUUAGGCAUUAGCUAUCUAAUUCUAAAUGACGACAGCUGUAUUUCUCUCAUUUUUAGUAAUAAACUAAAAUUUGUGUAUUAAAUGUGACAUGGCUAUAUUAUAAAUUUAGAUGUGUGUUUUUCUGAAGGUCAAAUUUCUAAACAUGUUCCAUUCCCACAAUACACACAAGACCUGCUCAUCCUGGAAUGUUGUCUUCUAGAUGGUUCCCGCAAUUACAGCAUGUUACUCAUUUUUGUCACCACAAGUAAACCACCACCAUCUCUCCAUUUUUACUCUCCUGCUCACUCCAGUUACUCCUUAUGUAUAUGAGGUGUGAUUGCAUUAUGCAGAGAAUGUUCAAAUUAAAACAAUUUUUUUACCAUAACAGGCACAUUGCCAUUAAUCCACCUAAAAUACUUUCUCUUCCUUCAAACACACAUGCCUUGAUUCUUUCCACUUUCUGAACAAUCCUGGAAGUUCUCUGUUCUGAGUGUCUUUAAAAGGUGUGAUAAAAAAUGAAAUGAAUGUUACUUCUUAGUGCUGUCCAAUGGAAAUGCAGGCUCAUAGAACAUUACUCUGUGUCUUAAUCCACCUUACUCACCAAACGGCACCAUUUCAAUUCCAGCUCUUACUCAAAGGAAAAAUAAUCAUGAAAGGUAAGCAUUUUGAAUCAAUUCAGGUCAUUGAGGUAGCCAGGUCAAUACAAGUAAAGACAUUCAUAAGAUAGGCCUUCCUGGACUCUUUCAGAAAGAAGUAAGAACAAUAGGAUGAGUGUAUAAAGUGUGGUGGAAUGCU